CCAGGCCUACGGGGCGCAGCAGUCGAGAAUCAUUCACAAUGGGGGAAACCCUGAUGGUGCGACGCCGCGUGGGGGAAUGAAGGUCUUCGGAUUGUAAACCCCUGUCAUGUGGGAGCAAAUUAGAAAGAUAGUACCACAAGAGGAAGAGACGGCUAACUAUGUGCCAGCAGCCGCGGUAAUAAAGAGGUCUCAAGCGUUGUUCGGAAUCACUGGGCGUAAAGUGAGCGUAGGCUGUUUCGU
rnacentral:rRNA from 1 species